AGUACUACCUUCGUGAUCCCACGCUCUUAAUCAUAUAAGCUAAAGUAUUGCACAUUCAAUCUUUGGGAGAUAUAAACAAAACAUAAAUAUAGAUAGAUUAUCUUUCCAUUAGGUUGAGCCAUCUGAUCUGACAAAUGUUUUAAAUGCUACACUCAUGAUCUUAUUAUCCAUCAACUUUGUCUUGCUCACUAUGCUUAAGGUUAGAGAAGAACAAAUACACUUUUGGUUCUGUUGGUGUUUUCCACCAACAGGGCCCAUGCACUUGAUCUCUGCCUUGUCUCUAUGAAUAGGUACACUUCAAACAAAACAUGGAGGAGUUUUACAACUCCGAGAUUGCACCAAGUGAAGAACCGGGAUCUACGAGCACAAACACAAUGGAGAUCAGACACUUAGUUUCCCAAAGGAAAUAUUGAAGAACCUCUGUGUCCGAGUUGGUACCUUGUACGCUCUAGCAAACUUCGUGGUGAUAGAGACUGGUAGUGAGGAGAGGGUACCCAUCAUCUUAGGGAGGCCAUUCCUAAAUACCAGAGCUGACAUCUACGCUAAUGCUGCCAAGAUCAGUUUCUACAUCAAGGGGAAGAAGGAGACUUUCUUUCAAGAACAAGACUACACAAAUUUCAGAGCAAUCCCGACAUGAACCAAGGAAGAGGACCAAUAGGAGGAACAGGAACAAGCAAAUGUGGACGGAGUCAACUAAGAUGGUCACUGCAGCUCAAGGAGGUCAAGAUCGUCGACUCAAGUCACCUUUCCUGAUCAAGAAGGACGACCCUGGUGUUCCAAGCAUUGAGUGCACAAUCAAUGGAUACUCUUUUCAGAAGACACUCUACGACACCAGAUCUGACGUCAACAUAAUGGCCGUAGUCACUUAUCAGCUCCUGCAUGGAACCAUGCCCCUACAACCAACAUACAUUCAGCUCCAGAUGAUUUUCAGGUCAUUGGCAUGGGAGAAGACGAGUACGAUCCACCCACCAUCAUUGGAAGACCAUUCCUCGACACCAUCAAAGCCAUCAUUUAUAUUGGAACCGGAGAAGUCCACAUGCACUUUCCUCUGAAGAAGGCGACGCAACCGCAACCAGAGGAGGCAAAUCAUCAAGGAUGGAUGGGCAGACUACGAAGGAGAAGUAGUAAGGUCUGAAGACAUACAGCUUGAACAGAAUUGUCCCGAGGAGACCGUAGCAUCGAGUCAGGUGUGGAAAGAGAAGAUAGUUAUACAAGAAGAGGAGGCGCCGCCGGAAUCACCGACUACGCCACCUAGCGAAUCCCAGGACGACUGAGAAAACGGAGAGUCCCGUUCGGAGGACUUAAAAAUACCGAACGCCUUGCCAAGAGGUAAACUUGGUAGUUAUCCUUUUCCAUUCAAUAGUUUGCUUAGUUAAUCAGGUUUAUGCUAUCUUGAAAAGAAAAUAAAAAUGUUAAAAAAAUAGUAAGCCCCAUGUGAGUAUGCUCAUGGCGUAAAACCCAUAAGGACAUUCACUGUGGUGGCAUAAAAAUAAAAUAAUUAAGUUUUCAUCUUACAAUAAAAAUAUAAAAAUAAUAAGUGCAUGAUCCUGCUAAAUAAGUAACAUUUAUUGAGGAGGUUCAACAUGAUAAAGGCUAGAUAUUUAUGCUAACACUUAACUAGUUCCACAAAGCUUUGUUGUCUAUUUGAGCUCCACAUAAUUCAAGGAUCAAAGAAGACUAGCAGACGGAGGACAUCCUAAUCGCUGUCAGGGUGUUGCCGACAUUCAAAUACACCUCCACCACCUGCUAGCUACAUCAGAAGAAAUUACGUCAAAAUCCAUCUUGGGGGAGAGCACCCCCAUUUAUCCAGCUAAGUGUUUUUACUCGCGUUUAUAUUUUACUCAAAUAAUAAAAAGAUGCAUAAUCAUGAAAACCCAACUAAAGAUUUUGUGCUUUUAUAUAUAUAUAUAUAUCUUUUCUUAGUUUGCUAAAUGAAUAAAUAAAUAAAGUUUGCUAUGAACCCUCAAGAUAAACUCUAGCAUGGAAAUAAUGAAUAGUUGCUCUGCCAUGACUAGUUCUUAAAAUUGAAAUCUCUCUCAAGUUUAGGCAUGACUGUUAUGAAGUAAGAUUUGCUCUAAACCUGAACUUGUGGGAAGAGUACUUGAUCUAAAGUCUAAGUUGUUAACGGAUAUGAUAUGGGAAGGUUGAGGUGCUAUUUAUCUGUUCCUAGAGAUGCUAGAAUUCUGGAGAAUUUUAUCUUUGAAAAACCUUUAAAAUAUUACAUGAUGAGUUCCUGUAUGAUGAGAGUUUAAGAUGCUACCACAACGAUAUAGACAUGCUUAUUAGACUUUGAGCCACACAUUUACUUUUUACUCCUUAUGAGCAUUAUGUGUGGUCAAGCUAUGUAGACCCUUAGGAGUUUGUCAUGUGGUUAAAAUCAAGAUUCACUUGCACGUUCACUCAUAUAUGCUACUUCUACUCCGGAAGUAGCAUCCACAUACAUCCACUCAUUUCCAUCUCCAGAUUCACCCAAAAGAAUUCUACUCCUAAUCCGGGAGAGAAUAGCCAAAAACAUUAUCCUAUCCCUAUUAUUCUCUGUGAAAUAAAUGCUCCAGUUAUUUUGGUUACUACCACUUGCUACAUUAUUUCAGGAGAUGAGUGCUCUAAAAAAGGGAGAAAAAAAGAGAAAAAAAAUACGAGGAAAUAAAAAGGGGCAAGUGCCCGGAACCUCGAAGAAAAGAAAAAGUGAGACGAGAGGUAAAAAUGGACAAGUGUCCGACAGUAGAAUUAGGGGUACAAGAUACCCACCUGAGAGAAAAGAAAAAAAAGAAAAGAAAAUAUAGAGCAUCUCAUUCUCCCCAAAAAGCUUCAAAGUGCAAGAAAGGUAUGUAUUCCCUCAAAAGAGCAAAAGUAGAAUUAGACUUCCACCAUUAUUAUCACCAUCAUCACCAUACACCAUUCAUUCACCACACAUGCACAUCUUGAUUUGAUUUAUUGACUUGUUUCUCUGGAUCCAUGGUUUGACUAUGCAAUAAAUGUCUUGUAAGUAUGUAUUAGUUGUCUCCCACCUAUGAGCUCCAGAUAUCAGAACCUUAUUAGAGUAGGGUGAGAGAGAAGGCAAUAUCACUACGCCUCAUACCAAAAAUACCACAUACUUUGAGAGAAGGCAUAUACCACUACUACCUUGGUAAGGAUCCAGAAAUACCACAAAAGAGAGACUAGAGAGAGUCAUACAAGGAAACUCUGAGUUUUAUUUGAAAAUCUGCAAAAAACUCCAGAGCUAUAGCUGAUCAAGAAUAAGAGACAUGGCACUUGACUUGACCGUUCUAUCUUUUAACUGCUCAAGACACAAGUGACGGUUACAAGCCCCAUGGUGAAAGGUAAAAUGAGUAAGUUUUAAGUCUUAACAGUUUAUUCUAACUCAGAGAUGAGAUCUUGCUUGAAUGCGUGUGUACUUUUAAGGCAUGAAACCACUGCAGAAACUCUUGAGUUCAUCCUUGCUCAGGGACGAGCAAGAGGUAAGCUUGGGGGAGUUGUUGACGGUCCUUAAGUAUCAAAUUUAAUUAUCAAAUAAACAAAGAAAAGGAUCCAAAUGAAACCAACACCUAGACUUAGGGUUUUAUCUGACAGAAUUCCACGAGUUUUGGUGUUUGUCUAUUUUUGCAGGGGGUUAUCAGGAAAUAAGGAAGAAAGGCCCACAUGUCAGGAUUACAUAGGGAUAUCAACGCACCGCGCAAUUUUCUACCAUCUAGAAGACUCCAGAAGCCACGGGAAGAAAGCAGAGGCCGAAAGGGGCCAGGCCCAGGGCGCCUGCCCUCCUUCCCUGGGCGCCCGCCCUGACCUGGACUACGUUCGGGACUCUCUUCGCACACGAUGUUCCACCGACCUAAUGGAUCAAGGAUAAUGUAGUACCACAUCGCCUACCGACCCAAAAACGCAUAGAGGAGGGGGACUAUAUAAGGAGACCCCCCUGGCCCCUGGAGAAGACAAGAAGUUAUCAUAGAGAUUGAGGGGUGCCCUCGAAGGAAAACCUCUUCUCUAAAUAAUAUUUCUUUUUAGGCUUAGCAACCAAUGUGAGUAGAAAUAGAUCUUCUAGUUUCUACUAGAUUGAGAGAGAUAGAGUGGAGGUGUAGAUCGGAGGAAGGCCGGCCUGUCGGUGUCUACUCCAAGGUUUUACCUGCGGGAUAAAGUCUUCUAACCCGAGGCUUGCUCCUAAGAUUCUUCGGUAAUUCGACUUCUAAUUCUAGUAAGUUCUUGCUUUAUUGUUCUUUGGUUUAUGAGUUUACUUUAAUCCUCUUCCGGUUGAGUAUUAGAGUAAUCAUUGCUAGCGUAAACAUGGUGUUUAGGCUAGGGUACUCAUAGAUAUCCCAUGACUAGCUGGACCGUGGUAGUAGUGAGGAACGUGACAUUUCCGAGAUACCUUUGUAUCCCAUAUCUUGUUAGCAGGAAGGGUAGGGUUUUUAGGUGCGGGUCGAACAUCCUUUGUGGUGUCUAGGUUCCGUAAGCUUCCGCAAUAGAACAGUAGAUCAUCCUUACCAAGGUUAGAACGAGACUACAGUUGCAGUCUUCUCUAUACAUCACUCACAUCGAGAAACAUUCUUUGUAGCCUAAAGGGGUAGUAGCAAUAGAUUUGGUUAGUCAGAUGCACCCUUUCUCCCAGUGGUAAAAAUAUAAAUACGAUACUCUGGAAAACCUCCCGGGUGAAAUGCUCACCGAUAUCCGUGCGCUUGCGGAUCAUUUCCUUAUUGCGUUACCAAAUAUUAACAGUGUCGUGCUCGAGAUCAAGAUAUAUGUGGAAAGGUGGUAUGAUUAUGAUAGCUAGAUGGCUCCUUUAUUUGAUUGUGCUCUCUCUAUUUUUUCUAUUGAGACAAGGCUAGAAUUUCUCUCUCUCUUUUUCAAGGACUUGAUGAUGUCCUUCCUAAUAAGAUGAUUAUUUUUCUAUAGCCUUUGCUUUGUGUCUCAUCUAACAUUUAGCUAUUAGAGAGGGAUUCUACACUUAGAGCAUGGAGCAUCUAUAUUUGGUGGAAUGGAAUGGAAUGGUAUGGAAUGUUGCAUACUCCUAGUGUAGGAGCAGCAGAUGUAUGUGGAUGGUGUGGAUCUUGAUCUCAUUGAGCAUGACACAACUCUAAACCAAGGGUCAACAAGAGUUGACAACUCUCAACACAAGCAAGCAGCCUAUGUGCUGGGUUUCUAUCAUGUAGAGCGUAUAUGGCUUGUGGUAGGAAAUUAACACCAUUGAGGAACAAUUAAGUUUUUAUUCAUCUUUUAAAAAAAUAAAUUCUCUGGCAAUCAUGCAUGCUUAGAAAAUUAGUAUAGAUCUCUUAUCUUAGCUAUAUCAUGUCUCACAACAACUUAGACUUUGUUUUUGCACUUGCAACCCACUAAGUGUUCAAGUUCAUGAUGAUUAAGAAUGCUAAGUAGUCCAUGCUUAGAGAAAUGCUAAGUUGUAAACAAGUACUAGAAAGACAUUAACUAGCAAUUUCAUCAUCAUUUCCAUAGGUAGGAUAACACACAUGAAGCAUAUAUACAAAAAGGAAAUAAAGCUAAUAAUUUUUUUAUUAUUAUGCAAGAAGGAAAAAAACAAAAUGCAAUAAAGCCAGAAUUAAAUUAGGGGGUUUGGAAACUUACCUUGGAUAAACUUACCUUAGUGGGGGAGAGAAUCUCCCCCAGCUUGCCUUCUUGCUCACGGGGGUGGUUGAUACCCAAACCACUAGUCCCAUCGGUACUCGCUCUCAACUUGGAGGCUUUGGGCCAUGUCCAAGUUCUCUUGCAUGAGCUGCAAGGUAGUCUGCUGUCCGAUGUUGAUGUUCUCCAUAUUGCUGAUGAGUGUCUCCAUUUCGGACGGUGGUUGGUGCCUCCCCCUACCACAAGGGCGAGGGGUGCGCGUUGCUGAAGACAUCCUGGAGUGAUGAGGUGUUUUCGUGUGCAUGGAGAUCACCUCAUCCUCCUCUUGUGGUGUAGCAUAAGAGGGACCAGCUUGUUGUUGAGCAGCACGGGACUAUGCUCUCAUCAUCCUGUCUGUCUCUGCAACAGGGUUGGCUCUAUUCUCUCUUCCUAGCCUCAGAGUUAGUGAUGAAGCAUUAUACAACCAAAGGUCCUCAUCAAGGAGAGAGACCUCAAUAAGAUGGUUCCCAUAAAUCAUUUUAAGACCAUUUUUGGGAUCUCUCUUAAUCAAAUUAGCACUCUUAAACAUCUGCUCACCUAAGAGAUAUCUAUCAUCCUGGAUGUACUCUACUUCAUUUAUUUCAAGCAAACCCAUAGAUUCAGCAAUUCUGGUGAUAAGUGAAGUAAAGCAUAUGGGCAUGCUAGGUGCAAUGGAGGAAAUCUAGAAAGUUACUAGCCACUUGACAGGUGAAAAUCUGAUUUUAUUUACCAUGGCAUAAAGCAUUUGCAAUUCUUUAAAGCCUAUAUCAUCCACACUAGUACCAGGGAAGUGAGUGAUUAUGAUCCAAAAGUACAUGAAUCUUAAAGUUGGGUUAUGGAUUUGGAUAGGUCUACGAAUAGAUGGAUUAUUGGAGCAAGUAAUCAACUUCCAGAACUUGGCUAAGUCAAAAUUUCGCAAAGCAUGAUCUUUGUCUAGCUCACAAUCUUGAUCAAAGCCUAGACAUGUACUCAAUUCACUCCAAGUUUAACUCUAAUCUUUGUUGAACAUGUGAAAACUUACUCCUGCAUCAUUUGAUUUUAGUGUGGCAAGAAAUUCUUAAGAGAGUAAUUUUAUACCGAAUUUAGGAACUUGCCAAAAUCCUCCCCAACCAAUGGCAUAAAAGAUGGUAGGAAAGUUGUUGCUCAUACCUGAUUGGUCCAAGAGUUGCUCGUCAAAGACAGUGGUGUGGCUGAAGCCGCAAGUGCGAAGGGUGUAGAGCUUCCCUAGCUCUUCAUGAGUGAGCAAGAGGUUGUCGUGGGGCUCCAGUAUCCUAUUAGCGGGGAUAAAGGGAACAAGUGUGUGCAGUUGUUCCUCCUCCACUCUCUCAUGGCUCGUACUCUCGUAGUAGUGAGAGCUCGAGGAUGAGCCAUCACCGUUCCUCUUUUUUGUGCGCUUGGCAGAGAUGAUUUUCUUCAUGCUAGCUUCACUAGUGAACAAACAAGACCAAGCUUCCUACUAUACUACUAUGCAGAUGGGAAAUAUUUUCGGGUUUAUAUCUACUACUACACUAAGCUUGAAAAGGCUUGGAACACUAAAGAGAAGAUAGAAGGCCAAGUGAGCUCGAGAUGAUUCUAUUGGUUGUGGUGUGGAAUUGAGCUCACAUUGGGGUGCCACUUAUAGGGUUGAAAGUGUAACACCCUAGGUGUUAAGCAUGCAUUUAGCCCUAUCACAACAUGCAUAAGCAUUUUCAUCAAGCAUAGCAUCAUGAGCAUGUCAUUCAUCCCAAAACAUGAUUUUAUGUGCUUUAUUUCAUUUGUUUUAAUUAUGCUAAAAUAUGAUGCUUGCUUCCAAAAAUGUGAAAUAUUCAAACUAGGUUGAUUUAUGUGUAAGAAGAAUUUAGAGUAUUUUUGUGUAAUUUUUGGAGCUAUGGAAUUUGAGAAAUGGAAUUUAUACAAGAUUUCCAAAUUGAAUUUAUUUAAAAACCUAGAACUAAGUUUUAAUUUGUAAUUCAAAUUCUAUUUGGAAUUUGGUCUUGCUUAUUAAAGCAAAGUUGUAGAGUUUUUGUUUUGGAACAACUUUGUUUUUGGGAGCAAGAGGUGAAAAUGAUUUUAAAUUGGUCCAAAUGAAUUUAGAAAGAAUUUGGAGAAAAGAAAUUCAAAAAAAAAGGAAAGGGGCAGGCGCUGCUGGGCCAACCCCGCUUCCCUUUCGGCCCAGCGAGCGGCCCGGCCUGCCUCCCCCUUCCCCUCUCUCCCGCGCGGGCGGCGCCCGCCUCGCUCCACCCGGCGCCGGCCACGUGGCGGCCGUACGCCGGCGUUGGACGCGCCGCGGCCGGCCUCCAACCCCCCCUGGUCGGGACGCCGGCUCGGGCUCCCAGGCCAUUUCCUCCGUUCUGUCCCGUGCGCCCUCCUUCUCCUUCCUCCCUCCGCUCGCACCGCGCAGCAGCAGCAGCUCCUCCGUACGCCAUUGCCGGAGAAAGCCCCGCCGCUCGGCGCCGACCGCACCAGAGCCUCAAGCUCACCGCCGAGAGCACCAGCGCCUUCGUCAUCAUUAGGGUAAGCUUGUGCGCGCGUUCUACCGAGGUGAGAGUCCGUCGAGCGCCGUGAAUAGCUCGCCGGAGUACUCCGCCGCGACGGAUCUUGUGUUUCUCUGCCUCUUUUCGCUGGUUCUUGGGUGCGCUAGGUCGGUAGGGUGGUGAGGAAGCUCGGAGAGGCGUUUGCGCACGCUCUACCGCGCCGGAGCGGCCUGGCCACGGCGAGCAGCGCCACCGUGCUGCCAUGCAUGCUCGUCGGAGGUGUUCCGGUCAUCCUCCGGCCAAUCCAAGGGUACCGUAGGGUGCGCCUCGCUGCGGGGAGCACGUUGGUGCUUACCCCGUGGCCGGAGACCUCACCGCCGGCGAGAUCUGCUCGUCGGAGGUGAGCUCCCUCUCGGUCUCGCUGACCGGUGGGGUCGGGGACCCACUGUCAGUCGUAGGGGGACCCCGGUGGGUGUAGAUCUGGGUGUGCGUAGCCUUUUUCGUCGGUUUUCUUGAAUAAAUGACUUCUAGAAAUUGAUUCAAAACUUGUAAAAUUCAUAUCUUGAGGUCUACAGCUCCAAAUUGGAUGAAAUAAAUUUUGGUGUGCUCUAUAUUUAAUCCAUGUUUUUGCUAAACUUGGAGAAUGCAUAGUAAAUAAAAUAUGGUUCAGAAAAAUGUGAAACUUGAUUUGUUGGCUCUGCAUGUAUGUUUACUCACUGGGAAAAUAUUGCUACAUAUUAUUUGGUGUAUAGAUGAAUUUAAGGUAAUUUAAAUACUUGCAUGUCAGUGAUUUAUGAUUUUUAAUAAUUAAUUGGAUCAUGCAAUAAAUAUAGAAAAUUUUGUGGGUGUUUCUUAUGAUAUUAGACAAAUUGUAAAAAUAUGAAAUCUGUUGUUUGACACUUAUAUCACAGUAGAGUGAUUAUACUUACCCUAUGAAUUAAUCUUGUGAUUUUUGUGGCUCAAAAUAAGUAUCCAAAAAUUAUGAAAAAUUUACAGUAGACUUUAUGCGUAGCUGGUAGUCUCCUGUAAUUUUUGUGGAAUUUAUUGAUGAACAGAAUUGCAUGUGAUUUUUAAUGGGCCUAGAAAUGAAUAAAGAAAAUUUUGAAUUGUUGUGUAUAUAGGUUGGGUUUGGUGUAUCUUUGAAGCAUCAUGUGGGUUGCUGGUUGCAUUUGAAAAAUAAUUGUAGAAGAGAAUGCAAUAGAUGUUUGAUUCAAUUGUUUGUUCUUGGAUGAUGUUGACUACCUUGUAAUGAGCAUGACCGAGUACAUUACAUAUGCAUCAUGUCAUGACUCCUUUGGUACUUUCUCAUACAAGCAUCCACUCCGGGAUCUCGCAGUCCACUCAUAAGCACCCAUGCAUCAUACAGGCUCGCAGGAGAACGAAGUGGGACCCGAGGAACCCGAGGAGAUUCAGGAGCAGGAACCUCCGGGAGCACAGGAACCCGGAGAGGAGCUGCAGGAGUGUCCGGAUCACCGACCCAGCACGUUUGAGAAAGGCAAGCCCCGGAGCAUUCUAAGUCUCCCUAUUCUCGCUAACUUAUAUGAUGCGCUAUAAUUGUUCUACUAUAUUGCAUCUAAGUGAUAGGAUUUGAUUGAUGUCGUUGAUGCAUAUGUACUCCUUGUUAUCCCUACUCGUUCACCUACCUUGUCCUAUGUAGAUAGGCACGGAGUCUAUGCUUAGCUUGCUUAGUCCGGUAGAAGUCGGGUGAUUUCCUGUCACCUGCGAGAAAUAGGUGGAUACCUGCUUGAUUAAGCAUUGGUUGCUUGGGGAAAAGAAUAACCAAGUAUGGAAUGUAACUGGAGACCGGGCAGGGUCUUAUGGUGGGUUGACCAUAGUGCCCCUGCCUGCGUCGAUUAAGGACCGAUCGUUGACGGCCCUCUUGUCAUGUUGAACGCAUGCCCCACACUUAGCUGGAAGGAUAAGUCAUUCCGACCGCGAAGCCUGAACACUAUCCGGGCCGGGCAUCGAGCCGCCAUGCGCUGUAUUGGUGAUGGUUGAGGAGAACGACGAGGGCGCGGCGCGCAACCUUGGUAUACCUUGGAUACCUCGGUCGCCGGAACGGUCCUCGGGUACUGGCGGUGCCUGCCGAACCCGCGAAUUGGUCCUGGAUAGUGUAAUACGGUGAUCUGUAGCUCACUUGAUCUGUGAGUGUGGUUUGUGUGGGGAAUACCUCGCCAGCUGGUUAGAAAUCGAUUCGAAUCGCAAUCGCUCCUGGAUAAUGAGCACUUGACAUGAGCUUCGUCCUCGUAGUAAGGACUAUGGAACACUUGGGUUAUGUUGAUGAAUGGUUUUAAGAAAUGCUAUGAUGAGGUACUAUCAUAGCCUUAUACUCGCUUGUAAUAGUGCAGGUGCAAACCUAGAUGAUAGGUAAUGAUACUUUCAACUUGAGCAAAUUAAAAGAAGAAAGACUUAUGUAGGUUAUGAUAGUAAAAUCCUGCGGUUUUGCAAAAUGGUUGUCAGCUACCCCACUAUAUAGCCUUCAUGAUCCUUGAUGAGUCUUUAUUUUAAGUUUAUGAUGGGUAAGUCUAGCUGAGUACCUUCUCGUACUCAGGGUUCUACUCCCAUGUUGUUUUGCAGAUGGUCAAGUGUACUAUGGUUAUUGCAUCCUCUAUCUAUACCCAGCCAUGGGUGAUGACUAGACCAAGGGCGAUGGUCACUCCGUCUUCUCUUUUGCUUUUGUGGGAAUGACCGAACUAUGGCACUGUAUCAGACUAAGCGUGUGUGUUGUAUUUUCGAACUACGAAGCUUCCGCUACUUGAAGAACUUGGUUUGUAAUAACUUUAAGAACUCCGAUUUAUUUUAUGAAUGUUGAAAUCUGGAUCUAUUGUGAAUGGCGACCGCUAAACUUAUUACGAUCUUGGCUGUUGUGCGGUAUGUGGUUUGAAAUCCUUCGAGAUUUCACAGACUACCGGGAUUAUAUGGGCUUAAGCGUGAUGGUUUGACUAUGCAAAUGGUCACUGUUAGGCUUAAUCUCUUAUAAUUUGGUCGGUUCUGUUACAGCUGGCAUCGGAGCAAGGUUUAGCGAGUUACUGUUCAUAAGUACGUUCUAAACAAAAUCUAAACCGGUCUAAUAAAGGAUUUUAUUAAUUAAUAAUGAUCAAGGUGUUAAACUAAGUUUUGGAAAACUAUCUAGUGUGCCAUGGUCAUAUCAUUUAUGCCCAGUUAAGGACUCUAAGGUGGCUAGUUAAGUACUGACUUGGGGGUUAAUGCAUCAUAUUUUUAUUUCGUCGCUCAUACGGCGUGCAAUAGUAUGAGUACCAUUCAUUUGAGUGGUAAUGUAUGGAUCUAUUUUUCCUCUACGUCAUGGUAAGUGGGAGCUGUGAGAGCAUGAUCGGAUACACCGCCGGUCUAGGGGAGUGUUGUUAGGUACUGUGUCAUGCACACAUGUUUUGGUGUGUCUUGGAAACAGUACCGCAUGUUGGGAAUUCCGUCCUGAGAGGCGAUGCCAUCAUUAGGGCGAUGAUAUGGGUAGCAACACAUCACAUGCAUGGACGGGUGUCAGUGUAUGUGAAGUGCAUAGUUUUAAAUUUUGUUUUGCAUUAGCAUACUGUGGGUGGGCUGAAAUGAGUUUUCUGCAGGUACCCUAACCACGUUCUCGCUUAGAACACUAGUUACGUUAUGAGAGAACGUUGUGUGCCACCGCAUAUACCGCUUAGUGUUAACCUUUGUUUCUAAGUUUGUGAGAUCGUAAGUUCGUGCAUGCAUCAUGUUCAUGUCAUAUCAUUGCUUACUUUCCCCCUUAAUUUAAUCUGUCCCAAUUCUAAAUAAAAUAAUUAAAUGUAAUCCUCGCUCUUACCCACGGUAUUCCAUUUGCAGCAGAUGGCACGCACUAGGCUCACCGCUCGCAAGUCCACUGGUGGGCGGGCCCCACACCAUCCGUUGGCAGCUAGGAGCUCGCGACAUAAGAGCAAGUUCCUGGAGGAGUUUGGGAUGCCCACUUUGCUUUGGAGGGUACUCAGUUCGAUGGGGUAUCCCGAAGGAAGGGAGCCUCGCUACUAUUGGGAUAAGGAGCCGCUUGGUGACGAGACCCUGGUGGGGAUCGAGGCAGUUGUCCCUACUAGUGGAGGAGACCCUGCUUGGGGUGGCUGGGUGUACGAGUCCCGAGGUGUCACGCCUUUCCAUGGUGCUAGCAGGGCAGCUUUCGCAGUUCGGAGGGACCUCAUGGAGAGGUUUCCACAGGAGCUGGCCCACGCCUUCGCUGGGGUGUUUCCCCGGGGUGACCCCUACACUUCGGUGUGGGAUCAGUCCAAGGUGAGCGCUCUAGAAAGGAGUGCGGCUGAGGACCAACACAGUGACAGCGCAGCUAUGAGUGCCAUGUACGCCUUGAUGAAGACCUAUGGAGGCCUGGAGCGUUGUUUGGGUCGCUUGUCCGGGUCUCUUCUCACCGUCCAGGAUGAGAAGCGUCAGUUGCAGCGUGAGUUCGACUCUGAGGUUGAGAGGCUGCAGGCAGAGUUGGCCCGUGUGACCAGAGAGAGAGACCAGGCAGUCCAGAAGAACAACGAGCUGAGUCAGGACCUGCUUGCAGUGCGAGAGCAGAGGGACAGGGUGACUACUGUUCACAGGAACUACGAGCGCAUGCUAGUCCAUGUGCUUGGACAGAGGAAUGAAGCCUGGCACGAGGAGGACACUUUGAGGGCCCGACAGCUAGAGCUAGAGCAGCAGCUAGCUAAUGCUGAGGAGUACAAUGAGAACUUGCAUGAGGAGAUCCACCAGCUGCAUAACCAGCUCCACCCUCACCACCUGCCUGGAGCAGCUGAGCUAGACUCUGAGGACGAGAUGGAUGCGGAUCCCAAGAUAGGAGCAGCUGCUAGUGGAGAUGAGGAUGAGGAUGGCUCCGACAUGGACAGUGACCAUAGCGAGUAGAUACUAGGGCUCUAGAGCUAGUCCUUCUUCUUGUGUUGUUGUAUGUUGCAUGGCAUGUCAUGUACUUUUGGAUCUGGGCUAUGUAAGACUUAUAAGUUAAUGCUGAAAGUCCAGUAUAUGUAUGCUGGCAAGUUGGAUGUACGCGAACCUUGUUGUGUAAAUGUUAAGUAAUCUGUUAGUGAUGUUGUGCGUAGAUGAUGAAUUGUUGUGCCUCUGUUUGCUGUGCGAAUUUAUUCCCUCAGUAAAUUCAGUACGGCACGAUUCUACACAUGGCUUAUCAUUGACUUAUGCAGAUGGUGCAAACACAUGGCUGGGGUAACAGCAAUCCGGGCCUUGGAGCAGGUACAUCCGGAGGUGGGGCUCAACGGAAUGAGGACAGAGCACCAACACCGCCACCACCACCGCCUCCUCCGUACACUGCGGACGUGUUUUUCGCGCAGUUUCUGGGGAGCCAACGCAACAUGGAACAGAUGCAGCGCAACAUGGAAGAGGCUCUGCGCAACAUAGCUGACAACACCCGUCGUGGGGAUAAUCAGGGUGGCCGAGAGGUCAACCAGUACAGUUCGUUCAAGGACUUCAUGGAUACCAAGCCACCAAUCUUCAAGAGGCUUUGGAACUGCUUGAGGCAGAUGAGUGGAUCAACACCAUGGAGCAGAAGUUUCGUCUUCUCCGAAUGACAGAAGAACUUAAGGCUGAGUAUGCGGCACAUCAGUUGCAAGGACCCGCUGGGAUUUGGUGGUCCCAUCACUGUACAACCUACCCAGAGGGAACCCCAAUUACCUGGAACCGUUUCACCACAGCUUUUCGGGGAAAUUACAUUCCUCUGGGUGUGGUUGAAAUGAAGGUUGGGGAGUUCAUGAGGCUGUCCCAGGGGACGAAAUCGGUGAAGGAGUAUCUACAUGCUUUCAAUAAUCUCGCUCGCUAUGCCCCUGAGUUUGUAAACAUGGAGGCUAAGAAGAUUGCUAGUUUCCAGAGGGGCUUGAAUCCAAAGAUGCUGAAGACCAUGGGUACAGGGGCCAGGGCUACCUUCAAUGCUUACAUCAGUGACUGUCUCACCCAGGAGAACAACAACAACAACUACAGUGCAUCCAAGUCACGUAAGAGGGCUUUUGAAGCCGGAUCAUCUCAGUCCAGGGCACCAGUGGCAGGGCGACAGCAGUAUCGUCCUCCUGCACCAGAUGCUAGGUUCCGACCGCCGCAGAGAAGGAACACCGGGCAUCCAACACAGCAGAAGCCGUACAAGGUGGCGAUAGCCCCGGCCAAGCCAAAGGCAGUUCAAGCUGCAGCACCUGCCGUCAACAAUGCGCCCAAGGGUCCGUGCUAUAACUGCCACAAGAUGGGGCACUUUGCUAAGGAAUGUCCCUACCCCAACAGGCAGCAGCCAACCUAUCCAGCUCGUGUGCACCAUACCUCGAUCGAGGAGAUCCCGGAAGGGGAACCGGUAACAGCUGGUAUGUUUCCUGUCAACCAACAUCUUGCAGUUGUUUUGUUUGAUUCUGGAUCAUCGCCUUCAUUCAUGAGCCAAGCAUUUGCACAAAAGCAUAGUCAACUAGUUACAGAUCUGGGUUAUGGCUACCGCAUCAGCUCAGCAGGGGCAGAUGUGUUGACCAAUAGAGUGGUCCGAGGGGCAACCCUGGAUAUAAGUGGCCGAGUUUUUUGGGUAAAUCUAGUGGUCAUGCCUGGGUUAGUUUUGGAUGUUAUCAUGGGCAUGAACUGGAUGAGAGAAUGGGGUGCUGUCAUAGAUACUGGGAAGAGAAUGUUAUCCCUCAGAGAACCACAGAGCAAUCGCUCUUUUCAAGUACCUCUGCCCCGUCGUCUUGACUUUGCUAGCAUCUCUUGUGCUACGCGCGUGGUUCCAUUACCACAGAUCCCAGUAGUCUGUGAGUUCCCUGAUGUUUUCCCUGAGGAAUUACCAGGACUUCCUCCAGAUAGGGAAGUAGAGUUUGCUCAGUUGUCCAAGGCAAAAGUGUUUUCCAAGACCCAUUUGAGGUCUGGGUAUCAUCAAAUCAAGAUUCGUCCGCAGGAUAUCCCGAAGACUGCUUUUUCCACCAGAUAUGGGUUGUAUGAGUACCUUGUCAUGUCCUUUGGGUUGACAAAUGCUCCUGCAUACUUUAUGUAUCUGAUGAAUUCAGUCUUUAUGCCAGAAUUGGAUAAGUUUGUUGUGGUGUUUAUCGAUGAUAUUCUGGUUUAUUCCGAAAAUGAGCAAGAUCACGCCGAACAUCUGAGAAUCGUGCUGACACGAUUACGAGAGCAUCAGUUAUAUGCCAAGUUCAGCAAGUGUGAGUUCUGGUUGAAGAAAGUUCCUUUCCUAGGGCACAUUCUGUCGGAAGAAGGGAUUGCUGUGGAUCCGUCAAAAGUGCAGGAAGUCAUGGACUGGAAGGCACCAACUUCUGUCUCGGAAGUUAGAAGUUUUCUUGGUCUGGCCGGGUAUUAUCGCUGAUUCAUACCUGACUUCUCCAAGAUUGCUAAGCCAAUGACAAGUUUGCUGCAAAAGGAUCAUAAGUUUGUCUGGACGGAAGGGUGUGAGUUAGCCUUCCGCACCUUGUGAAAGUUGCUAACCACUGCUCCCGUUCUGGCACAACCUAAUAUCGAAAAGCCUUUUGAUGUGUUUUGCGACGCAUCGAAGAGUGGCCUGGGGUGUGUGUUGAUGCAAGAUGGCAGGGUGAUAGCUUAUGCUUCCCGACAGUUGAGAAAGCACGAAGUCAACUACCCAACUCACGACCUCGAGUUAGCAGCAGUGGUACACGCUUUGAAGAUUUGGAGACAUUAUCUGCUGGGAAAUAAGUGUCACAUUUAUACCGAUCAUAAGAGUUUGAAGUACAUCUUCACUCAGUCCGAGCUAAAUAUGAGGCAACGAUGGUGGUUAGAGCUAAUCAAGGACUAUGAUCUGGUAGUUCACUAUCAUCCGGGCAAGGCUAAUGUAGUAGCAGAUGCGUUGAGUCGUAAACCGCACUAUCAAGUGGUUCAACCGUUGUUUGAAGAUGGGUUCAAUCUCAUGCAUCCUGAGGUCUUAUGUCACAUACAACUCAGUUGUUCACUUGAGAGUCAAGUCAUUGAAGGACAGAAAACAGACAAGGGUAUUUUCCACAUCAAGGAGAAGAUCAAAGAUGACCCAAAAACUAAAUUUUGCGUUGUUGAGAAAGGGGUACUGUGGUUUGAACAUCGGUUAGUAGUCCCGAAGGAUCGAGAAUUGAAGAAUCGCAUCAUGGAUGAAGCCCAUCUCUCUAAGCUUUCUAUUCAUCCUGGCAGUAGCAAAAUGUAUCAAGAUCUAAGACCCCACUUUUGGUGGACCAAGAUGAAGAAGGAAAUAGCCGCAUAUGUAGCCCGUUGCGACACGUGUUGCAGAGUUAAGGCCAUCCAUAUGAAACCUGCAGGUCUGUUGCAACCGUUAUCAGUUCCAGAGUGGAAAUGGGAAGAGGUCAGUAUGGACUUUAUCACAGGAUUACCGACCACGAGGAAGGGGAAUGACUCGAUUUGGGUGAUCAUAGAUCGAUUAACCAAGUCGGCUCAUUUCAUUCCAGUCAAGAACACAUACAGACCUCCCGAGUAUGCCGAUAUAUAUAUGGCUGAGAUUGUUAAGUUGCAUGGUAUUCCCAAAACCAUCAUAUCACAUAGAGGACCACAGUUCACCGCUCACUUCUGGGAGCGAAUGCAUAAGAAUUUGGGAACCAGUCUGAUAAGAAGCACGGCGUACCAUCCCCAGACUUCAGGACAAACGGAGAGGCUAAACCAAGUAUUGGAAGAUAUGCUGAGGGCCUGUGUGCUAUCAUCCAAGGGAUCAUGGGAGUCAUGGUUACCUCUAGCUGAAUUCUCCUACAAUAACAGUUAUCAAGAGAGCAUCAAGAUGGCCCCGUUCGAAGCUUUGUAUGGUCGGAGAUGUAGAACUCCGUUGAACUGGGUUGAACCUGGUGAGAGAAGAUACUAUGGUAUCGACUUCAUGAAUGAGGCAGAGAAGAAGGUACAAAUCAUACAGCAGCAUAUGCGCGCAGCGCAAUCCCGACAAAAGAGUUAUGCUGAUAAGAGAAGAAGGCCACUUGAAUUCAAAGUAGGUGACUAUGUGUACCUCAAGGUUACGCCAAUGAAGAAGGUUCAGCGUUUCCGAGUUCGAAGCAAGCUUGCACCCAGAUAUGUGGGAACGUAUCAAAUACUAGAGAGGAAAGGCCCAGUGGCCUACAAGACUCAGUUACCUGAAGAGUUGAGCUCGAUCUUUCCGGUCUUCCAUGUGUCGCAACUACGGAAAUGUUUGAAGGUACCUGAGCAAAGAAUUGAACCUUGAGGGAUCAAAAUAAAAACAGAUUUAGAGUAUAAGGAGCAACCAGUGGGAAUUGUGGAUACCAAGGAACGGGUAACCCGAAACAGAAUUGUCAGAACUUAUAAGGUGGUGUGGAGUCAUCAUGACGAUAGGGAUGCCACCUAGGAAACAGAGGAUUACUUGAAAACAGUUUAUCCAAAAUUUCAUAAGAAAUGGUUAGUAACCCAAAAUCUCGGGACGAGAUUUCCCUAAGGGGGGAAGGGCUGUAACACCCUAGGUGUUAAGCAUGCAUUUAGCCCUAUCACAACAUGCAUAAGCAUUUUCAUCAAGCAUAGCAUCAUGAGCAUGUCAUUCAUCCCAAAACAUGAUUUUAUGUGCUUUAUUUCAUGUGUUUUAAUUAUGCUAAAAUAUGAUGCUUGCUUCAAAAAAUUUGAAAUAUUCAAACUAGGUUGAUUUAUGUGUAUGAAGAAUUUAGAGUAUUUUUGUGUAAUUUUUGGAGCUAUGGAAUUUGAGAAAUGGAAUUUAUACAAGAUUUCCAAAUUGAAUUUAUUUAAAAACCUAGAACUAAGUUUUAAUUUGUAAUUCAAAUUCUAUUUGGAAUUUGGUCUUGCUUAUUAAAGCAAAGUUGUAGAGUUUUUGUUUUGGAACAACUUUGUUUUUGGGAGCAAGAGGUGAAAAUGAUUUUAAAUUGGUCUAAAUGAAUUUAGAAAGAAUUUGGAGAAAAGAAAUUCAAAAAAAAGGAAAGGGGUAGGCGCUGCUGGGCCAACCCCGCUUCCCUUUCGGCCCAGCGAGCGGCCCGGCCUGCCUCCCCCUUCCCCUCUCUCCCGCGCUCGCGGCGCCCGCCUCGCUCCACCCGGCGCCGGCCACGUGGCGGCCGUACGCCGGCGUUGGACGCGCCGCGGCCGGCCUCCAACCCCCCCUGGUCGGGACGCCGGCUCGGGCUCCCAGGCCAUUUCCUCCGUUCUGUCCCCCGCGUCCUCCUUCUCCUUCCUCCCUCCGCUCGCACCGCGCAGCAGCAGCAGCUCCUCCGCGCGCCAUUGCCGGAGAAAGCCCCGCGGCUCGCCGCCGACCGCACCAGAGCCUCAAGCUCACCGCCGAGAGCACCAGCGCCUUCGUUAUCGUUAGGGUAAGCUUGUGCGCGCGUUCUACCGUGGUGAGAGUCCGUCGAGCGCCGUGAAUAGCUCGCCGGAGUUACCCCGAGCUCGCCGGAGUACUCCGCCGUGACGGAUCUUGUGUUUCUCUGCCUCUUUUCGCUGGUUCUUGGGUGCGCUAGGUCGGUAGGGUGGUGAGGAAGCUCGGAGAGGCGUUUGCGCACGCUCUACCGCGCCGGAGCGGCCUGGCCACGGCGAGCAGCGCCGCCGUGCCGCCAUGCAUGCUCGUCGGAGGUGUUCCGGUCAUCCUCCGGCCAAUCCAAGGGUACCGUUGGGUGCGCCUCGUUGCGGGGAGCACGUUGGUGCUUACCCCGUGGCCGGAGACCUCACCGCCGGCGAGAUCUGCUCGUCGGUGGUGAGCUCCCUCUCGGUCUCGCUGACCGGUGGGGUCGGGGACCCACUGUUAGUCGCAGGGGGACCCCGGUGGGUGUAGAUCUGGGUGUGCGUAGCCUUUUUCGUCGGUUUUCUUGAAUAAAUGAUUUCCAGAAAUUGAUUCAAAACUUGUAAAAUUCGUAUCUUGAGUUCUACAGCUCCAAAUUGGAUGAAAUAAAUUUUGGUGUGCUCUAUAUUUCUAGAUCUACAGUUUGAUGUAAUUGCAUGUCAUGUUUGAGUAACUUUUCUGAAUGAAUAUAUUUAAUCCAUGUUUUUGCUAAACUUGGAGAAUGCAUAGUAAAUAAAAUAUGGUUCAGAAAAAUGUGAAACUUGAUUUGUUGGCUCUGCAUGUAUGUUUACUCACUGGGAAAAUAUUGCUACAUAUUAUUUGGUGUAUAGAUGAAUUUAAGGUAAUUUAAAUGCUUGCAUGGCAGUGAUUUAUGAUUUUUAAUAAUUAAUUGGAUCAUGCAAUAAAUCUGGAAAAUUUUGUGAGUGUUUCUUAUGAUAUUAGACAAAUUGUAAAAAUAUGAAAUCUGUUGUUUGACACUUAUAUCAUAGUAGAGUGAUUAUACUUACCCUAUGAAUUAAUCUUGUGAUUUUUGUGGCUCAAAAUAAGAAUCCAAAAAUUAUGAAAAAUUUACAGUAGACUUUAUGCGUAGCUGGUAGUCUCCUGUGAUUUUUGUGGAAUUUAUUGAUGAACAGAAUUGCAUGGGAUUUUUAAUGGGCCUAGAAAUGAAUAAAGAAAAUUUUGAAUUGUUGUGUAUAUAGGUUGAAUAGAAUAGGUUGGGUUUGGUGUAUCUUUGAAGCAUCAUGUGGGUUGCUGGUUGCAUUUGAAAAAUAAUUGUAGAAGAGAAUGCAAUAGAUGUUUGAUUCAAUUGUUUGUUCUUGGAUGAUGUUGACUACCUUGUAAUGAGCAUGACCGAGUACAUUACAUAUGCAUCAUGUCAUGACUCCUUUGGUACUUUCUCAUACAAGCAUCCACUCGGGCAUCUCGCACUCCACUCAUAAGCACCCAUGCAUCAUACAGGCUCGCAGGAGAAUGAAGUGGGACCCGAGGAACCCGAGGAGAUUCAGGAGCAGGAACCUCCGGAAGCACAGGAACCCGGAGAAUUCUAAGUCUCCCUAUUCUCGCUAACUUAUAUGAUGCGCUAUAAUUGUUCUACUAUAUUGCAUCUAAGUGAUAGGAUUUGAUUGAUGCCGUUGAUGCAUAUGUACUCCUUGUUAUCCCUACUCGUUCACCUACCUUGUCCUAUGUAGAUAGGCACGGAGUCUAUGCUUAGCUUGCUUAGUCCGGUAGAAGUCGGGUGAUUUCCUGUCACCUGCGAGAAAUAGGUGGAUACCUGCUUGAUUAAGCAUUGGUUGCUUGGGGAAAAGAAUAACCAAGUAUGGAAUGUAACUGGAGACCGGGCAGGGUCUUAUGGUGGGUUGACCAUAGUGCCACUGCCUGCGUCGAUUAAGGACCGAUCGUUGACGGCCCUCUUGUCAUGUUGAACGCAUGCCCCACACUUAGCUGGAAGGAUAAGUCGUUCCGACCGCGAAGCCUGAACACUAUCCGGGCCGGGCAUCGAGCCGCCAUGCGCUGUAUUGGUGAUGGUUGAGGAGAACGACGAGGGCGCGGCGUGCAACCUUGGUAUACCUUGGAUACCUCGGUCGCCGGAACGGUCCUCGGGUACUGGCGGUGCCUGCCGAACCCGCGAAUUGGUCCUGGAUAGUGUAAUACGGUGAUCUGUAGCUCACUUGAUCAGUGAGUGUGGUUUGUGUGGGGAAUACCUCGCCAGCUGGUUAGAAAUCGAUUCGAAUCGCCAUCGCUCCUAGAUAGUGAGCACUUGACAUGAGCUUCGUCCUCGUAGUAAGGACUGUGGAACACUUGGGUUAUGUUGAUGAAUGGUUUUAAGAAAUGCUAUGAUGAGGUACUAUCAUAGCCUUAUACUCGCUUGUAAUAGUGCAGGUGCAAAACUAGAUGAUAGGUAAUGAUACUUUCAACUUGAGCAAAUUAAAAGAAGAAAGACUUAUGUAGGUUAUGAUAGUAAAAUCCUGCGGUUUUGCAAAAUGGUUGUCAGCUACCCCACUAUAUAGCCUUCAUGAUCCUUGAUGAGUCUUUAUUUUAAGUUUAUGACGGGUAAGUCUAGCUGAGUACCUUCUCGUACUCAGGGUUCUACUCCCAUGUUGUUUUGCAGAUGGUCAAAUGUACUAUGGUUAUUGCAUCCUCUAUCUGUACCCAGCCAUGGGUGAUGACUAGACCAAGGGCGAUGGUCACUCCGUCUUCUCUUUUGCUUUUGUGGGAAUGACCGAACUAUGGCACUGUAUCAGACUAAGCGUGUGUGUUGUAUUUUCGAACUACGAAGCUUCCGCUACUUGAAGAACUUGGUUUGUAAUAACUUUAAGAACUCCGAUGUAUUUUAUGAAUGUUGAAAUCUGGAUGUAUUGUGAAUGGCGACCGCUAAACUUAUUACGAUCUUGGCUGUUGUGCGAUAUGUGGUUUGAAAUCCUUCCAGAUUUCACGGACUACCGGGAUUAUAUGGGCUUAAGCGUGAUGGUUUGACUAUGCAAAUGGUCACUGUUAGGCUUAAUCUCUUAUAAUUUGGUCGGUUCUGUUACAGAAAGGGCAUGGCAAGUCCCCCUGAUGAGGUCAGGCCCGAUCUUUCGAGAGGUAAUUGGUAAAUUCGAUUUGUGGAGAACUCGACGUUGGCGAUCCAGCUUCAAAUCAGCACGGUUCGAAUACUGCAACCAUUAUACGACUACUCCGUUGGUUAUCAACUAAGCACAACUUUAUUGACCUCGCCAAGAAAGCUUUUCCUACAAGCGAAUCGAAGAACACAAGUAAGAAAGUAUAAACACGCAAUCUGAAAUUGCAGAUAUGAAUGACGUGAAUAUUCAGUGUGGGUUCAAGAACUCGGUUCCAAAGGACUAAUCAACACAGUGGAGGAGAUCAAGAACGGGGACCCUGGAUCAUUGUAAAAGGAUUUGUCACCACAGUUACAAUGAACGAUUCAGUUUUUCGAUGGAAAACUAAACUCUAACAAAACACAACUCUAAACAGCGGCGGCUGUGUGGAAUAUAAAGGAGAAGCGACCUAGGGUUGGAGGCGACCAGGGGGAGGUGCCCACAACACGGGCUUAAGGCCCGAAUUCGAUAUGACCGCAGUCACUUAUCAGCUCCUGCAUGGAACCAUAACCAACAUACAUUCAGCUCCAGAUGAUUUUCAGGUCAUUGACAUGGGAGAAGAUGAGUACGAUCCACCCAUCAUCCUUGGGAGACCGUUGCUCGGCACCGUUAAAGCAAUCAUCUACAUUGGAACCGGAGAAGUUCACAUGCACUUCCCCUCUGAGAAGGUAUGCCGCUGUUUUACUGACCCUAACUAUAUAGUUGAAAACUCUAAGGAGGUCAGGACAACAAGAAGACAACCCAACCGCAACCAGAGGAGGCAAAUCAUCAAGGACGGAUGGGUAGACUACGAAGGAGAAUUAAUAAGGUCUGAAGACAUACAGCUUGAACAGAACUGUCCUGAGGAGACUGUAGCACAGAGUCAGGUGUGGAGAGAGAAGAUAGUUAUACACGAAGAGGAGACGCCGCCAGAACCACCGACUACGCCAUCCAGCGAAUCCCAGGACGACUGAGAAAAUGGAGAGUCCCGUUCGGAGGACUUAAAAACACCGAACGCCUUGCCAAGAGGUAAAUUUGGUAGUUAUCCUUUUCCCUUCAAUUAUUUAAAAUAGUUUGCUUACUUAAUCAGGUUCAUACAAUAUUGAAAAGAAAAUAAAAAUGUUAAAAAUAGUAAGCCCCAUGUGAGUAGACUUGUGGUUUAAAAACCCAUAGGUAUAUUGACAAUGGUGGCAUAAAAUAAAUAUGUUUUCAUCUUACAAUAAAAAUAUAAAUAAUAAGUGCAUGAUUGAAAGCCCAAGUUUGGUUUUGGUAAUUAAUGACACCAAGUUGCUAAUGCCUUGUGUUUAAGUGAUUUGAGUUAGGCAUAGCAACACAUGUGAUGAAGGUGCAUGGAGGCAUGGAAAGGUGGCCACAUGAUCACAAAGGGAUGAAGCAUGAAGAGAAGAUCAUGGUGAUAGACGAGGAGCAAAGUUAUCAAGGCAAAGGUAUAAACAUAGGGUUUUACUUUUGCCGGUCUAAGAUGAGUAGAGAAGUGAUUGACCGGGUUUAGGAUAUAUAGCCGACUAUCAAGAGGGGAAAUCACGGUCAUCUCUCGAAUCAAGUGCUACUAGGUCCAUAUCUUGAGCAUAUGCAUUAGGAUCUAGUAAAGUGCUAACUUAACUCCUUUGGGAAAAUGUUUGUGAAAAGCUAACACACUUGCACUUUGAUGGUGGACACUUGUUGGUGUUAGCACUUUUACAAAGGAGGUGGAGUUCCUAGGGUUGAGAGGGGUGCUAACACAUUCGGCGCUUUUGAGAAAAAUAAGUGUUUAUUUUCUAUUUGCGCUGGUGGGAAAUUUUGGAGAAGUCGCGGGAGUGUUUUCUCACUUAGAAACACUCACAGGACGCUGAGUGCGGAGGCACCGGACGCUGGCCUCAGCGUCCGGUGUGCUUGACCCUGCUAGGGUUGAGCACCGAACGCACUCUGGUAGCGUCCGGUGGUUAGCGUCCGGUGUGAGGGGUUUUUGUAACCCUCUCUGCGCACGAGUCCGGUGAGCACCGGACCGUCCGGUGCCCAGCGUCCGGUGAGGUCGCGAGUUUGUCACCCUCUCUGCGCACGAGUCCGGUGAGCACCGGACCGUCCGGUGUGGACUUGCAUAGCGUCCGGUGUGUUGCAGGUAGCCGUUAGAAACUGACGCGCGAGAUUCAAAGAGGACAUGUGGCCAACUCCAGUGCACCGGACGCAGGGGGUCGAGCGUCCGGUGCUCACUUAGUAGCGUCCGGUGCCCCCGUUUUCAGCCCAGUGAAAACAGCCAACGGCUAGUUUCUUUGAGGGGCUUAUAAAUAGUUGGUGGCCGGCUUUGGGAGGUUCCCUCUUGCACAUUUGAUACUUGAGACAUACAUUGAGCUAGAGAACACUCCCUCCACUCAUCUCCUUGCUUGAUUGCUAAUCCUAGUGAGAUUGAGUGAGAUUCAAGUGCAUUGCUUUGAGAGUUGCAUUUAGUGGCACUUGAUUCUUGAGUUUGCUGCGGAUUUCUUGUUACUCUUGGGUGUUUCCCGACGCCCUAGACGGCUUGGAGCAGCGGUGGUGUUGAGCUCGUGAUUGGAGAUUGUUUCGAGCCUCACCAAGUGAUUUGUGAGGGGUUCUCGAGCCUUCCCCGCGGGAGAUCGCAAAUUGGUUACUCUAGUGGAUUGCUCGUGGCUUGGAGGAUCCCCAUCUUGUGAGUGGAUGUGCGGCACCCGCUGAGGGUUUGGCUUUGGAUUGCCAAUUAGCUCGUGAUCCAUCAAGUGGAUGUAUCGCCACAACGAGGAGUAGCUUGCCGGGAAGCAAGUGAACCUCGGUAAAAAAUCUUGUGUCAUCUCUUGCCGAGGUCUCUCUUGUAAUUGUGUACGUGAUUGAUUGGAUAUAUCUCAUCUCUACAACGUCGGUAUAACAAUCACUCUCCUCUCUUUACAUACUUGCUUACCUUGCUAGUUGUGUAGCUUGUUUAGCUUAGUUCUCUUGUUGUUGUGCUUUAGUGUUUAGCCUUGUACUAGUUUGACUUACUGAAUUGUUUCUCUGGAUCCAUGGUUUGACUAUGCAAUAAAUGUCUUGUAAGUAUGUAUUCUCUGUCUCCCACCUAUGAGCUCCAGAUAUCAAAACCUUAUUAGAGUAGGGUGAGAGAGAAGGCAAUAUCACUAUGCCCCAUACCAAAAAUACCACAUACUUUGAGAGAAGGCAUAUAUCAUUACUGCCUUGCAAAUGAUCCAGAAAUACCACAAAAGAGAGAUUUGAGAAAGUCAUACAAGGAAUCUCUGAGUUUUAUUUGAAAAUCUACAAAAACUCCAGAGCUAUAGCUGAUCAAAGAACAAGAGACAUGGCGCUUAACUUGACCGUUCUAUCUUUUAACUGCUCAAGACACAAGUGACGGUUACAAGCCCCAUGGUGAAAGGUAAAAUGAGUAAGCUUUAAGUCUUAACACUUUACUCUAACUCAGAGAUGAGAUCUUACUUUUAAGGCAUGAAACCAUUGUAGAAACUCUUGAGUUCAUCCUUGCCCAGGGACGAGCAAGAGGUAAGCUUGGGGGAGUUGUUGACGGUCCUUAAGUAUCAAAUAUAAUCAUCAAAUAAAUAAAGAAAAGGAUCCAAAUGCAACCAACACCCAGACUUAGGGUUUUAUCUGACAGAAUUCCACGAGUUUUGGUGUUUGUCUAUUUCUGCAGGGGGUUAUCUGGAAAUACGGAAGAAAGACCCACACGUCGGGAUUACAUAGAGAUAUUAACGUGCCGCGCAAUUUUCUAUCAUCUAGAAGACUCCAGAAGCCACGGGAACGAACGAGAGGCCGAACGGGCCCAGGGGCAUGGCGCCCGCCCUGACCUGGAUUUGAUUCAGAACUCUCUUCGCGGACCAAACUCCACCGACCUAAAGGAUCAAGGAUAACCGUCCAAUCAAUGUCGGUUUGAUCCAAUGGCUCACGUUCACUUGAGGGGACUAUAAAACCAGACUCCCUGGCCCUAGAGGAGACAAGUUCAUCAUAGAGUUGAGAGGAGCCCUCGAAGGAAUACCUCUCCUCUAAAUAAAUAUUUAUUUUAGGCUUAGCAUCAAAUGUGAGUAGAAUUAGAUCUUCUAGUUUCUACUAGAUUGAGAGAUAUAGAGUGGAGGUGUAGAUCGAAGGAAGCCCGACCUGUCGGUGUCUACUCCGAGGUUGUACCUGUGGGAUCAAGUCUUCUAACCUGAGGCUUGCUCCUAGGAUUCUUUAGUAAUUUGACUUCUAAAUCUAGUAAGUUCUUGUUCUAGCUGGACUGUGGUAGUAGCGAGGAACGUGACAUUUCUGAGUUGGUGGCCGGCUUUGGGAGGUUCCCUCUUGCACAUUUGAUACUUGAGACAUACAUUGAGCUAGAGAACACUCCCUCCACUCAUCUCCUUGCUUGAUUGCUAAUCCUAGUGAGAUUGAGUGAGAUUCAAGUGCAUUGCUUUGAGAGUUGCAUUUAGUGGCACUUGAUUCUUGAGUUUGCUGCAGAUUUCUUGUUACUCUUGGGUGUUUCCCGAUGCCCUAGACGGCUUGGAGCAGCGGUGGUGUUGAGCUCGUGAUUGGAGAUUGUUUCGAGCCUCACCAAGUGAUUUGUGAGGGGUUCUUGAGCCUUCCCCGCGGGAGAUCGCAAAUUGGUUACUCUAGUGGAUUGCUCGUGGCUUGGAGGAUCCCUAUCUUGUGAGUGGAUGUGCGGCACCCGCUGAGGGUUUGGCUUUGGAUUGCCAAUUAGCUCGUGAUCCAUCAAGUGGGUGUAUCGCCACAACGAGGAGUAGCUUGCCGGGAAGCAAGUGAACCUCGGUAAAAAAUCUUGUGUCAUCUCUUGCCGAGGUCUCUCUUGUAAUUGUGUACGUGAUUGAUUGGAUAUAUCUCAUCUCUACAACGUCGGUAUAACAAUCACUCGCCUCUCUUUACAUACUUGCUUACCUUGCUAGUUGUGUAGCUUGUUUAGCUUAGUUCUCUUGUUGUUGUGCUUUAGUGUUUAGCCUUGUACUAGUUUGUAUAGGUGGCUUGCAUAGCUUAGUUAAGCUAGUGCUAGAAUUGCUUCGCUAUUUUUUUUACUAUCUCACUUGCUUAGUGAAGUUUGUAGAAUUUGUAAAUAGGCUAUUCACCCCCCUCUAGCCAUUUGGACCUUUCAAGUGGUAUCGGAGCCGAGGCACCGUUUCUUUGAGGCUUAACAACCUACGGUGAAGAAAUGGCUCUUAGUUUGCAUAUCAACAACACUAAGAAGGCACCUUACUUUGAUGGCACCAAUUAUGCUUAUUGGAAGGUCAAGAUGACCGCCCAUCUCAAGUCAAUCAAUGGAGAAGUUUGGAAGGUGACCGAAACAAAGUUUGAGGUUGCAAAUGAGAAUGCACCAACACCGGUUGAAGAAAAGAAGCUUCAAUGCAAUGACAUUGCAAUAAGUGCUCUUCAUGAAGCUCUUGAUGACAAGACCUUUGAGCAAAUCAAGAACAUUGAGGUUGCUCAUGAUGCAUGGGCAAAGCUAGAAGAAACAUUUGAGGGCACCAAGGGAACCAAGACCGCCAAAGCAUACAUCCUCCAAGAAAAGUUCUCAAGCUUCAAGAUGCAAGAAGAUGAAAGUGUGCCGGAGAUGUUUCACCGGUUGCAAGUCAUUGUGAAUGAACUCAAGGCACUUGGGGAAGAAGUAAAAGAUAGUCAAUUCUCUAUGAAGUUCUUGAGAAGCUUGCCUAAGAGAUUUGACACAUUGAUCACCGUGCUAGUCAAGACAACACUUAGUGAAUCAACUCCCCAACAAGUCUUCCAAGAGGUGAUGACCGAUGAUGCUUAUAGGGAAGAUGAUGAGAAGGAUGAGUUGAUCAAGAAGAAGAAGAAGGAUGGUGAGAAGAAAGAUGAUGAGAAGAAGAAAAGUGUGGCAUUCAAGGCCACCACAUCCAAGGGCAAAGCCAAGCAAGAAUCAUCAAGUGAAGAAGAAGCAAGCUCUUGUGAUAGUGAUGAAGAUGAGGAGAUGGCUCUUCUUGUCAAAAGAUUUGGAAAGUUUAUGAAGAAGAAGGGAUAUCGGGCAAGAAGGAAGAAAAGCUCCUCCAAGAAGAAUGACCAUUCCAUGAGGUGCUUUAGAUGCCAUAGCAAGGAUCAUCUCAUCGCCAAGUGUCCUUAUGAUAGUGAUGAUGAAGAUGCUAUCAAGAAGGAGAGAAAGAAGCAAAAGAAGAAGCAAGAAAAGAAGGAAGGCUCAAACAAAAAGAAGGGUGAUGCCCAUGUUGCAACUUGGGAUAGUGAUGACACCUCAAGUGAUGAUGAGAGCACCAAGAAGAAGGCGCAUGCUAGCAUUGCAAUUCAAGGAAAGAGCUCCAUCUUCGACACUCCAUCAUGCUUCAUGGCUAAGGCCACUAAGGUAUCAUCCGAUGAUGAGAGUGACCAUGAUAGUGAUAGUGAUAGUGAUGAUGAUGGACCAACUAAAGAUGAACUAAUCACUAUGCUAGAAGAUUGCACUCAUCACUAUAAAGAAACUAGAAAGGAGUGCAAGGCCUUGCUUAAGGAUAAGAAAACCCUUGAGCAAGAACUUGAUGAGCUUAGAGCAUCUUAUGAGAGUCUGAAGGAAGACCAUAAGAAGCUUCAAAAGGCUCACACUAAGCUUGAAGAAGCUCAUUCCUCUCUAGUCAACAAAUGCGAAAAUGAGCCAACUAAAAUGGAAAAAGCUAAAACUUGCAACAUAGGCCUAACUUGUGAUAUCUUAUGCAAGCCUAUUGUUAUUGCUUCUACUAACCCUUCAUGUAGCACAUCUACAUCAUCCUCAUCUAGUAGUGAUGGUUUCACAUGUGACACCACACUAAAAGUUGAGAAUGAAAUUCUUAAGAAGGAGGUGAAAGAGCUCAAUCACACCUUAGCCAAGGCUUAUGGUGGUGAGGACCGCUUGCUUAUGUGCUUGGGGCUUGGGUAGCCAAAGAGCUUCUCUGUACAAAGAGGGAUUGGGCUAUAACCCCAAGAAAGGUAAAGCCGCUUUUGCUCCUCACAAGACUAGUUUUGUGAAGAACAAUGGCCGGUAUUGCAAAGCUUGCAAGCAAGUUGGUCACCUAGAGCAACAAUGCAUGAACAAGAAACCCAAAGCUCAUGUAUCCUCAAUUAAGCUAAAUUCUUUCUAUGUGCUUAUCAAGGAUACAAAAGGUGUUCAUGCUAAGUUCAUUGGUGCACCAUGGAUGGGCUCAAAGAAGAAAGCCAUUUGGGUACCAAAGAGCUUAGUUGCUAACCUUGGAGGACCCAAUCAAGUUUGGGUACCUAAAAAGAAUUGAUCUUGUCUUGUAGGUCAAUUACAAAGCUGGAGGAAGGCAUUGGGUGCUUGAUAGUGGGUGCACUCAAAAUAUGACCGGGGAGUCUUGUAUGUUCAAAUCAAUUGAUACUAGUCAAAAUGGUGGCUUUGAUUCAAUUACCUUCGGUAACAACAAGAAAGGCAAGGUCAAGGGGCUUGGUAAAAUUGCUAUCUCAAAUGACAUGAGGAUAUCAAAUGUGUUGCUAGUUGAAAGCCUUGAUUUCAAUCUCUUGUCAAUUGCACAACUUUGUGACCUUGGUUUCAAGUGCAUCUUUGGUAGUGAUGAUGUUGAGGUGGUUAGUGUUGAUGGAUCAAACUUGAUAUUCAAAGGAUUUAGGCAUGGUAGCUUAUACUUGGUUGAUUUCAAAGAUAGUGACACCCAAUUGACAUCAUGCCUAAUUAGCAAAUCAAGUUUGGGUUGGUUGUGGCAUAGAAGGCUUGGUCAUGUUGGAAUGAAACAAUUGAACAAACUGUUGAGGCAUGACUUAGUUAGAGGCUUGAAGGAUGUCACCUUUGAGAAGGAUAAACCAUGUAGUGCUUGUCAAGCCGGAAAGCAAGUUGGAAAUGCACAUCCUAAGAAAAGUGAAAUGAGCUCAUCAAAGGCAUUUGAGCUAUUGCACAUGGAUUUAUUUGGGCCAACAACAUACACUAGCAUUGGUGGCAACAAGUAUGGAUUUGUGAUAGUAGAUGACUACACUAGAUACACUUGGGUGUUCUUUCUCUAUGACAAGAGUGAUGUUUGUGAUCUAUUCAAGUCUUUUGUCAAGAGGGUGCAAAAUGAGUUUGAAACCACUAUCAAGAAGAUUACAAGUGACAAUGGUAGUGAAUUCAAGAACACAAGAAUUGAGGAAUUGUGUGAUGAUCUUGGCAUUGGACAUCAAUUCUCUCCAACAUACACACCUCAAUCCAAUGGUGUAGUUGAAAGGAAGAAUAGAACCUUGAUUGACAUGGCUAGAUCAAUGCUUAGUGAAUACAAUGUUAGCCAUUCAUUUUGGAGUGAAGCCAUCAACACGGCUUGCUAUUGUAGCAACCGUCUCUAUUGCCAUGGAAAGCUUGGGAAGACACCAUAUGAGCUAUUGAAUGGAAGAAAGCCCAACAUUGCAUACUUUAGAGUGUUUGGUUGCAAAUGCUACAUUCUUAAGAAGGGCACUAGAUUGAGUAAGUUUGAGAAGAAAUGUGAUGAAGGGUUCUUACUUAGUUAUUCCACCACAAGCAAGGCAUAUAGAGUAUGGAACUUGGCAAGUGGCACAUUGGAAGAAGUCCAUGAUGUUGAGUUUGAUGAAACCGAGGGAUCUCAAAAUGAAGCUCAAAAUCUUGAUGAUGUGAGGGGAGAUCAAUUGGCAAAUGAAAUGAAGAACAUGGAUGUAGGUGACAUAAGGCCAAGGCAAGUUGAUGAUGAUAGUGAUAUUCACAUGAUCAAUCAAGAAGUACAAAUUGAUACAAAUCAAGCAAGUACUAGUGGCUCUCAUGAUGAUGAUCAAAAUCAAAAUCAAGCUAGUGGAAGCAAUCAACUCCCAAUACUCCAACCUACAAGCAUAGCAAGAGAUCAUCCAUUAGAUCAAGUCAUUGGUGGUAUUCAAAGUGGUGUUCAAACAAGAUCAAGACUAGCAUCCUUUUGUGAGCACUACUCAUUUGUCUCGUUUGAGGAACCAAAGAAGAUAGAAGAUGCAUUGAGAGAUUCGGAUUGGGUAAAUGCCAUGCAUGAAGAAUUGAACAACUUCACAAGAAACCAAGUGUGGGAGCUUGUUGAGAGGCCAAAGAACUACAAUGUGAUUGGUACCAAGUGGGUCUUUAGAAACAAGCAAGAUCAAGAUGGUGUGGUUGUGAGAAACAAAGCAAGAUUAGUAGCACAAGGCUACACUCAAGUAGAAGGUCUUGACUUUGGAGAGACAUAUGCACCGGUUGCAAGAUUGGAGGCAAUUAGAAUAUUAUUAGCCUGUGCUUGUACCCACAACAUCAAGCUCUAUCAAAUGGAUGUGAAGAGUGCAUUUCUCAAUGGAUACAUCAAUGAGUUGGUUUAUGUUGAACAACCUCCCGGUUUUAAUGAUGACAAGAAACCCAACCAUGUUUACAAGCUCAAGAAGGCAUUGUAUGGUUUGAAGCAAGCACCUAGAGCAUGGUAUGAGAGAUUGAGAGAUUUCCUUCUCUCUAAAGGGUUCAAGAUGGGAAAGGUUGACACUACCCUCUUCACCAAGAAGCUAGGCAAUGACUUGUUUGUGUUGCAAAUCUAUGUUGAUGAUAUCAUCUUUGGAUCAACCAAUCAAGACUUUUGUGAAGAGUUUGGAAAACUGAUGGCAAAUGAAUUUGAGAUGUCCAUGAUUGGAGAGCUUAGUUACUUCCUUGGUCUUCAAAUCAAGCAAAUGAAGAAUGGCACUUUUGUAAGUCAAGGAAAGUACAUCAAGGACAUGAUCAAGAAGUUUGGGUUGCAAGAAGCUAAACCAAUGAGCACACCUAUGGGCACAAAUGAUCAAUUAGGAAGUGAUGCUAGUGGCAACAUGGUAGAUCAAAAGCUAUAUCGGUCCAUGAUUGGAAGUUUGCUCUAUGUCACCGCAUCAAGGCCGGAUGUAAUGUUUAGUGUGUGCAAAUGUGCAAGAUACCAAGCUUCACCUAGAGAAAGUCACUUGAAGGCAACCAAAAGAAUAUUGAGGUAUCUUAAGGGCACUCAUGAUGUUGGAUUAUGGUAUCCCAAGGGGUCUAACUUUGAGUUGAUUGGAUAUUCGGACUCCGACUAUGGUGGAUGCAAGAUUGAUAGAAUGAGCACAAGUGGCACUUGUUACUUGCUAGGAAGGUCUCUAGUUUCAUGGUCAUCAAAGAAACCAAAUAGUGUUGCACUAUCAACCGCCGAGGCCGAAUACAUUAGUGCCGGUAGUUGUUGUGCACAAUUGCUUUGGAUGAAAGCUACCUUGAAUGACUUUGGAAUCAAAUUCAAGAAUGUGCCUUUGCUAUGUGACAAUGAGAGUGCAAUCAAGAUGACACAAAAUCCGGUUCAACAUUCAAGAACCAAGCACAUUGACAUAAGGCAUCACUUCAUAAGAGAUCAUCAACAAAAGGGUGAUAUUAGCAUUGAAAGCAUUAGCACCGAAGAUCAACUAGCCGACAUCUUCACAAAGCCACUUGAUGAGAAGAGAUUUUGCAAGUUGAGGAAUGAGUUGAACAUACUUGACUUCUCUAACUUGAGAUGAGUGCACCCCCACAUUUCUAUAUGACAUACCACUCCUCCAACAAUGCAAGGUAAAGUUGGUUGACAUAGCAUUCAUGCUUGCUAAGGACAUGAUUAGAACAUAUAGACAUGUUUGCAUGAUAAUAGGCUCAUUCAUGAAAAUCAAAAGAUUUUGAUGUAUGUAUGGUACCACUAUUGCUUCUAUGUUUGAUUGAUCUAGUGGUAGCAUAUGACAUGUUUGUGAGCUUGCAAGCCUAGUGUUGAAUCUAGAAUAUGAGCUUAUGAUGUGUAAUUCAACAUGGUCAAGAUAACCCUUAUACUUUAUGAGGUGUGAAAAAGCUUGUCCUUGGAUCAAACCGAAUUACAUGUUUGAGGCAAGUGAUCUAGAUUGAACCAUAAUUUGACCCUCACAUUGAUUGACUUAAUUCUCACUAGUUUUUGAACCUUUGUGGGCAUUGAUGACAAAGGGGGAGAGAAACAAAGAUAAAGUCAAGAUAAAGUCAAAAAGGGGAAGAGAAACAAAGAUAGGGAGAGAAAACACCUUUAAACUUGAGCACACAAAUAGGGGGAGCAAGCUCAUGAACCAUUUGUUGCAUUUGUAUGUGCACUAACAUAAUGAGUUGUUGCAUUGCAAGUUUAAAUUCACGACUCUUGUUUGAUUGGUGCUUGCUAGAAAUAGAACUUGAAUGAUGCUUUGAAUUCUAGCAUAAAGUUUUAUUUUCAUGUGGUAUCUAGACAUAUAAUGUGAUCUCACGAGGUAUAUUGAGUUUUUGAUGUAUGUCUAGCUACAUUGGUGCUAAGGAUGGUAUAUUGGCAACUCCGAUUGGUAUCACGCUUCAAAGGUCCAUUCUAUAUACCUUAGCAUCAUUUUGGUAGUAAUAAUUCUCCCAAAACUCUAAUUUAUGCAUAUGUGCAAACUUGAACCAAACUCAUGGAAGCACAUAUGUAGGGAGAGCUAGUCCUAGUGAUUGACCGGGUUUAGGAUAUAUAGCCGACUAUCAAGAGGGGAAAUCACGGUCAUCUCUCGAAUCAAGUGCUACUAGGUCCAUAUCUUGAGCAUAUGCAUUAGGAUCUAGUAAAGUGCUAACUUAACUCCUUUGGGAAAAUGUUUGUGAAAAGCUAACACACUUGCACUUUGAUGGUGGACACUUGUUGGUGUUAGCACUUUUACAAAGGAGGUGGAGUUCCUAGGGUUGAGAGGGGUGUGGGUUCCUAGGGUUGGAGUUCGACGCUUUUGAGAAAAAUAAGUGUUUAUUUUCUAUUUGCGCCGGUGGGAAAUUUUGGAGAAGUCGCGGGAGUGUUUUCUCACUGAGAAACACUCACCGGACGCUGAGUGCGGAGGCACCGGACGCUGGCCUCAGCGUCCGGUGUGCUUGACCCUGCUAGGGUUGAGCACCGGACGCACUCUGGUAGCGUCCGGUGGUUAGCGUCCGGUGUGAGGUGUUUUUGUAACCCUCUCUGCGCACGAGUCCGGUGAGCACCGGACCGUCCGGUGCCUAGCGUCCGGUGAGGUCGCGAGUUUGUCACCCUCUCUGCGCACGAGUCCGGUGAGCACCGGACCGUCCGGUGUGGACUUGCAGAGCGUCCGGUGUGUUGCAGGUAGCCGUUAGAAACUGACGCGCGAGAUUCAAAGAGGACACGUGGCCAACUCCAGUGCACCGGACGCAGGGGGUCGAGCGUCCGGUGCUCACUUAGUAGCGUUCGGUGCCGCCGUUUUCAGCCCAGUGAAAACAGCCAACGGCUAGUUUCUUUGAGGGGCUUAUAAAUAGUUGGUGGCCGGCUUUGGGAGGUUCCCUCUUGCACAUUUGAUUACUUGAGACAUACAUUGAGCUAGAGAACACUCCCUCCACUCAUCUCCUUGCUUGAUUGCUAAUCCUAGUGAGAUUGAGUGAGAUUCAAGUGCAUUGCUUUGAGAGUUGCAUUUAGUGGCACUUGAUUCUUGAGUUUGCUGCGGAUUUCUUGUUACUCUUGGGUGUUUCCCGACGCCCUAGACGGCUUGGAGCAGCGGUGGUGUUGAGCUCGUGAUUGGAGAUUGUUUCGAGCCUCACCAAGUGAUUUGUGAGGGGUUCUUGAGCCUUCCCCGCGGGAGAUCGCAAAUUGGUUACUCUAGUGGAUUGCUCAUGGCUUGGAGGAUCCCCAUCUUGUGAGUGGAUGUGCGGCACCCGCUGAGGGUUUGGCUUUGGAUUGCCAAUUAGCUCAUGAUCCAUCAAGUGGGUGUAUCGCCACAACGAGGAGUAGCUUGCCGGGAAGCAAGUGAACCUCGGUAAAAAAUCUUGUGUCAUCUCUUGCCGAGGUCUCUCUUGUAAUUGUGUACGUGAUUGAUUGGAUAUAUCUCAUCUCUACAACGUCGGUAUAACAAUCACUCUCCUCUCUUUACAUACUUGCUUACCUUGCUAGUUGUGUAGCUUGUUUAGCUUAGUUCUCUUGUUGUUGUGCUUUAGUGUUUAGCCUUGUACUAGUUUGUAUAGGUGGCUUGCAUAGCUUAGUUAAGCUAGUGCUAGAAUUGCUUCGCUAUUUGUUUUACUAACUCACUUGCUUAGUGAAGUUUGUAGAAUUUGUAAAUAGGCUAUUCACCCCCCUCUAGCCAUUUGGACCUUUCAAUGAUCCUGCUAAAUAAAAUUUAUUAGGAGGAAGCUCAAUAUGAUAAAGGCAAAGAGAUUUUAUGCUAUCACUUAACCAGUUCCACAAAGCUUUGUUGUCUAUUUGAGCUCCACAGAAUUCAUGGAUCAAAGAAGACUAGCAGACGGAGGACAUCCAAAUCGCUGUCAGGGUGCUGCCGACAUUCAAAUACACCUCGGUCACCUGCUAGCUACAUCAGAAGAAAUUACGUCAAAAUCCAGCUUGGGGGAGAGCACCCCCAUUUAUCUAGCUAAGUGGUUCUACUCGCGUUUAUACUUUACUCAAAUAAUAAAAAGAUGAAAACCCAAAUAAAGAUUUUGUGCUUUUAUAUAUAUCCUUGCUUAGUUUGCUAAAUAAAUAAAGUUUGCUAUGAACCCUUAUGAUAAGCUCUCACAUGGAAAUGAUGAAUAGUUGCUUUUCCAUGACUAGUUCAUAAAUUUGAAAUCUCUCUCAAGUUUAGGCAUAACUUAUAAUUUAAAUCUGCUCUAAACCUGAACUUGUGGGAAGAGUACUUGAUCUAAAGUCUAAGUUGUUAACGGAUAUGAUAUGGGAAGGUUGAGCUGCUGUUUAUCUGUUCCUAGAGAUGCUAGAAUUCUGGAGAAUUUUAUCUUUAAAAAUCUAUAAAAUAACACAUGAUGAGUUCCUUUAUGAUGAGAGUUUAAAAUCCUACCACAGCCAUAUAUACAUGCUUAUUAGACUUUGAGCCACACAUUUACUUUUUACUACUUAUGAGCAUUGAGUGUGGUCAAGCUGUGUAGACCCUUAGGAGCUUGUCAUGUGGUUAAAAUCAAGACUCACUUGCACGUUCACUCGUAUAUGCUGCUUCUACUCCGAAAGUACGCAUCCACAUAUAUCCACUCAUUUCCAUCCCCAGAUUCACCCAAAAGUAUUCUACUCCUAAUCUAGGACGGAAUAGCCAAAAAGAUUAUCCUAUCCCUGUUACUCCCUAUGAAAAAAUGCUCGAGUUAUCUUGGUUACUACCACUUGCUAUAUUAUUUCAGGAGAUGAGUGCUCUAAAAAAAAGAGGAUACGACGAAAUAAAAAGGGGCAAGUGCCCGGAACCUCGAAGAAAAGAAAAAGUGAGACGAGAGGUAAAAAUGGACAAGUGUCCGACGGUAGAAUUAGGGGUACAGGAUACCCACCUGAGAGGAAAGAAAAAGAAAAUAUAGAGCAUCUCAUUCUCCUCAAAAAGCUUCAAAGUGCAAGAAAGGUAUGUAUCCCCUAAAAAGAGCAAAAGUAGAAUUAGACUUUCACCAUUGUUAUCACCAUCAUCACCAUACACCAUUCACUCACCACACAUGCACAUCUUGAUUUGACUUAUUGAAUUGUUUCUCUGGAUCCAUGGUUUGACUAUGCAAUAAAUGUCUUGUAAGUAUGUAUUAUCUGUCUCCCACCUAUGAGCUCCAGAUAUCAAAACCUUAUUAGAGUAGGGUGAGAGAGAAGGCAAUAUCACUAUGCCCCAUACCAAAAAUACCACAUACUUUGAGAGAAGGCAUAUAUCAUUACUGCCUUGGAAAUGAUCCAGAAAUACCACAAAAGAGAGAUUUGAGAAAGUCAUACAAGGAAUCUCUGAGUUUUAUUUGAAAAUCUACAAAAACUCCAGAGCUAUAGCUGAUCAAAGAACAAGAGACAUGGCGC
rnacentral:lncRNA from 1 species